rnacentral:rRNA from 1 species
UUUAGAUUUAAAUAUAAAAACUUGAGUAGUAAUAGUUAUGGUCUUGAAACUUAAAGAAUUUGGCGGUAUUUUAGUCUAUUUAGAGGAAUCUGUUCCAUUAUCGAUAAUCCGCGUUGGACCUUACUUAAUUAAUUUAAUAUGUAUACCGCCGUAUUUUUUUUUGAAAAUCUUAUUAGGGUAUUUUCUUAAUAUUUAAUUUUAUAAUAUUUCAGGUCAAGGUGCAGUUUAUAAUUAAGUGGAGAUGGAUUACAAUAUAUUUAUAAACGGAAUAUUAAUUGAAAUAUUUUUAUGAAGGUGGAUUUAAUAGUAAUAUUAAUUAGAUUAUUAAUAUAAUUUAGGCUCUAGAAUGUGU